rnacentral:rRNA from 1 species
UACGAAGGGGGCUAGCGUUGUUCGGAAUUACUGGGCGUAAAGCGCGCGUAGGCGGGUCUGUAAGUAGAUUGUGAAAUCCCUGGGCUUAACCUGGGACGUGCAGUCUAAACUGCAGACCUUGAAUGUCUGAGAGGAUGGCGGAAUUCCCGGUGUAGUAGUGAAAUACGUAGAUAUCAGGAAGAACACCCGUGGCGAAGGCGGCUCUCUGGGACGGUACUGACGCUGAGACGCGAAAAGCGUGGGGAGCGAACAGG